AUGGGAAGCUAUUGUUUUAGUUAGAGAUCUGUCUUUCUGGCUAUUUGCCCAUAAAUUUGCCCUUAAUUAAUGAUUAUUCAUAGCUCAUUUUUAAUGACUGAAUUACCACCUCUUCUGUAAGCUUAAGCUGUUAGACAGAAGUGUGACUUUUUGGACUUUAGCACUCUAUCUAAUAUUCUACGUUUUGAAGCAGAAUUUGAAUAAUUAUAAUUAUAAUAAGGGGAUGUUAGCUUUGAUUUGCAAAUAAUAUGAAGAUGAUAUUAAUACUGUUUGAUCAUAUGACAAGUUUAAUCUUUUGAGAUGUUGCAAUUUUGUUUGUGAUUGAAAUAGACAGUUUCUUGACUACUAAUGCUGAAAUGGGUCUAAAAUUUUCAUCUUGGUUUUCUUAAUUAAGUAUUUUCUUACUGGUACACUACAUAUGACUGCAAGACAUUUCAUGGGAAGGGGGCCACAACUUCAAGUGAAUAUAGCCAGAGACUGCUGGUAUAUUAUUGGUAGCUGUUAUUGUUGCUUGUAGCAAAAUAUCCUUUCACUUUGGCAGAAGCAUGCUUCUUAUGUUCAUGUAUCAGAAUCAGUUUGUGGGAUCUCCAAGCGCCGGAAAGCCAUGUAAAUCGAGGUUAUAGUAUUUAAUGUUGAUCAUGGUGCUCUUCUGGGUUAUAGCAAUCAAUGAAUGCAAUGUGCUUAGUUUUGUAUAUGGGUAGGCUUCUGCGGAACUUAAGAGAGGAAGCAUAAACAUUAGAAUUGAGGAUGAAACCUAAAAGAAGAACUUUAAAGGAUCUUGGAUGUGAAUUUUUAAAUUGAUUAGUUUGAAAGGCAGAAUCUGUCUUCUGUAAAUUGUCCUUAUUCCAGCUUAGAAAAUGCUCAUGUUCUUAAUGUGUUAAAGCCAAAUUAUGUGGGAACCACAAAAGGCUUUGAUUAAACAGUGUCCAAAAACUGGGGAUGAAAGUGCAUCAAAAUGGAUGGCCUGCAAUAACUAGUACUUAAGAGGAGAAGGUUUAGUGAAAAAGAAGUCAUGCAUUUUGUGCUUUGAGCUCUUACCAAAUUAAGCAGUAAAAGGAAGAAGACUACACAACAGGAUAGAGAAAAUGUAGUAUUUUUACCUGGGAAGGGAAAGGAAAUCAGAAAAUGACAAUUUAAACUCUGGUAAUUUGACUCCACUGCACAUAAUUGAAUGCUCAUAUGGGUUUUCAAAGACUCAAAGUCUACCAAAAUAUAAUGAAACUAUUAAUAGAGAGACUACGAGUCCUGAAAAGAUAAACCAGUAUCCAACCAUCAGAACCAACACAAUAAAAUAAUCUGAUCAAGACCCUUGAAUAGCUUACUCCUAAUUCAUGGACAGUAAUCUUGGAAAUAGGGAGUACAUAAAAGACUCAAAGGAGACAGUUUCAGUCUAAACAUGAGAAAACUCAAACUGAAGCAUCUUGCAUGUACACCUGUGCCUUCCCCUUGCAUGUGCAUCCUGCAUCCAAGCAAAUUUGUUUGGGAUUAUUUUUCUAAUCGUGGUAUAUGGAACACUUCAAAACUGAUAAUCAUAUGAGUAAUAGCAUAAGGGGCCAUAUAUAUUUACAGAUUAGCAAUUCAUGGUUUUGCAAGCAUUUCAGAAGGAUAUAGUACUUGAAAGAACAAAAAUUGAAGUAUGUGAUUUGCCUACUUGCAACUAUUACAAGACUUUGUUAUUCUGAAUCACUUUUUCUUAAUUUAAUUUAACAAGGAAAUUUAGUCUUUGUCAUUUCUGUGCCUCAAAAUGCUGCCAAAUGGAAUAUGCAUUCCAUCAAUGUUCCUUGCCAGAGUAUCAAGAACUUUAAUGAACGGUUUAAUGUUAUCAUUUGGCUUUCUUCUUUUAUUUUGGAGUGGAGAAGGGUAACUUUUAUGCAUCUUUAUAUGCACGCCAUACUAUUAGUACAGCUAUGGUAUGCAUAUCGAAAUUGACUUUAUCCCUUAAUCAUUGUAUUGGUCAUUUGCACACUAAAAAUGGCUAUUUGGGCUUUUUCUCGAUGGCUUCUGCUUCUUCCCUAGUUGAUUAUGGAAAAGUGAUUCUUGGGAAAUUUGUUGAAAGAAAUUGAAAUCAUGCUUUUGUUGUUAAAGUUUGUCAAAGUCAGUUAGCUGUUUCAAUCGAAAACUCCUAAAGGCAUUUAUAAUCUUUUAUUUCUCUUAUAUAUGUUUUAAAUUUUCCUUAUUUUACGUAUGCUUUUGAUGAAAAAUUAUGCUGAAAUUUUGUAAUUUAGUCUUUUACCUUAUGGCUACCUAUGCAGAUUAGGAAAGGAUGUGCUGCUUGUAUAAAAAAUUCUUGUUAGUUUUGCAAAUUUAUAGAUUUCAGGCUUAUGGAAUCUCAUUUUUUUGCAGCACUUGCAUGAUCAACUGCAAUCGAAGAUUAAAACUUCACAUGUAAGAUUUUUGUUUGUGAGUAGUAAUUGCAAUUUUCUUUUGUUACUGAAUGAUAAUAAGAUUAUAUGCACAAGUAUGAUCUAAAUUUAAGAUUGUACGCAAUUUUGUUGAUAAUCAUGCGAAAAUUUCAUGCUUAUUUCUGGAUCAAGGAUUUCACAUGUAGUCCUGUUGUUGAGAAAGAAAGUUUGUUUUGUGUUGUCUUCGACUUCGUACUGUGCUGAAGAAUUUGAUAUGAAUAAUAUUGUGCUAAACUUUUCUACACUUGUUUCUCAUCCUAAAACCAGUACUCUGGUAGUGAAAAUUUAUAUAAACUGUUAGGGAAACAUAGGUGUAUUUUGUCCUAUCUUGCUGUUGAUACAUGUGUUCCUUAGCGGCUUCACCCAACAUGCUUUGUAUGAUUUCUAUUCUCUCCUUUCCUGGUGGAGAUACUCUGUUUAUUUUCCUUUGCUUUGAUCUGUUGUGGGUUGUUACAGAUCCCAGUUAAGUGGGUUGAUAUGCAAAAUUAUGCACUAUAGAUGGCCUUCUUUUUCCUUCAUAAUCUAAAUUCAUCUUACAGAACGUAACUUUUCACUUGUAGUAUAAAUGAUCAACCUCAUAUAUCUCUUGGCACAGGAUAAAAUUGAAGAGCUAAAUGCAAUAGCUGGAAAUCAUACUGGCAAGGAGAACCCUAGUGCUGGCCCCAUUAUGGGUCAAUUUCCUAACAGUUCCAUGGUAAACAGAGUUCUUUUUCAUAGUUUACUCAAAGAAGUGUAAUUCUGCUUUUUCUUUCUCCCUAGGGUAAGUUAUGCACUAAUUUGGAUGUCCUUCGUUUCAAGGGCAUGGGUGGAUCUUCUCAUCAAAACCACUAUUUAGAUGGACAUCAAAUGGAGCCAGCCGAUGGUGUACCGACGUACAUACAAGAGAAUGAUCAUCAACAAACUGGAAGUUUAAUGCUUAAUCAUGGAAUAUAUGGUUCACGGAGUGCAGAUAAUCAUUCAAAACUUACAUCUGAUAAUGAUAGGCAAGUCUGGGGUUCUGCAGGCUUACUAAUUUGGUCAGAAUAUGCUAUGAAAAUCUAAUGUUGUUCUCACAUUUUGCAACAUAUCGAUUUGACUGGUUCAUGUUAUGCUUCGUUCUUUGGUUCUUUGGUUGUUUUGUUACAUGAAACCUUAAAAUUGUGACCGCCAACUUCUUUGAAGCAUUGUAAAACUGUGAAUAGUGUGCUUCUUGGAAAUAGAUGAAGUUGCCAUGAAUUUUUAUUACUUUUCAGCCAUAGUCAAUUGCACAAUCUAAUUGGGUAUUUCUCCAUCAGAAUUUUAUUGUAAGCAGUUUCUCAUUGUCAGCCAAGACUUUCAAAGAUUUUUAGUGUUUGUAAGUCUGAUUUAAUUUUACAUACUUGUGGAGGCAGAAAAAGAUUAUUACUGGAGAUAUCUCUUUCCUAGACACAAGAAUCAGUGCAACUUACAUGUUUAAUAUUUGUUGUAAUGCCUUCAGUAUAGACCGCUGCAUUAAUGUAAACAUUCUGGCUUUCUUAUUAUUUGCAUUGUCAAUGUCUGAACCUAAAAAGUUAGACUUCUGUGUGCUGCAUCAGCCCCAAAGGAGUACAUCAUCAGAUGCUUGGUUUCCAAGAUAGAUUGAUAAAGUAUGCCUACAAUAUGAGCAGAAAUUUUGCUGCUUUGAACAUCAAGAAGCUGAGUUAUUUACCUUGCAGAUGUAGCUUUUUAAUUAGAUUAAUUUUACUCUUGUUGAUUGAUUGAUUUAUAUUUCCCAUAAGCCAUGUGUUGAAAUAGAUAUCUUUUCAUGAUUAGACAUAUUGUAGAUAUGACCUCCCUGUAUACAUAUUUUUGUCUGCAUGUGCAAAAGAGGAAGAAGACAUUUUAUAGAUAAGCCAUUAGAUGUCUGGUAGAUAAGCUUUGACUUCCCCAUGCAUAUAUUUUACCCAUUAGUGUGAAAUAGGAAGAAGACAAAUCCAUAUGGCUUUUCCCGAGCUAGUGCAUUCUAGUGUGCAACAAAUUAUUGUUGCUCUGUUGCAUUGUGAUUAGAAACUGUAGAAUUAAAUAGCUAGUUUGAUUAUUGACAAUUUUCAACUUGUAAGUCUGCCCGAUUUAGUUGAUUCUUAUAGUAUUAUUUAAAGGUUUAAAGAACCUGAGAACUGGUUCAGGCUGAACUUUUUGUAUCAGGUUUUUGUUUUCAACCAGCUUGUCAUUCUUAUAUUAUCUGGUGGUCCUUUUUUUUUUGGCAUUUCCUACUGGAUAAAUGCUUCUUCCUAACAGACACAUUUGCAGGGGUGUUGUAGGUUCUGAGGUAGACAAUAUAUUUGACAGAAGUGGCAUAAAUAUGAGACCAGAUGAAAAUGAUCAGUUUUACCACUCUCCUAGAGUUGGUUCUUUAACUUCAGAAGGUAAUACAUGUUUUAGUCUGUAUUCUUAAUGAUGGAUUUCCUACAAAAUCUAAUUUUGUUUUUGGCACUAGGAGAGGGUCCUGGAAUAGAAGGCUUUCAAAUUAUUGGAGAUGCUAAACCUGGAGGAAAGCUUUUAGGCUGUGGAUAUCCUGUUCGUGGAACUUCUCUCUGUAUGUUUCAGGUAAAUAUCAUUCAAGGUUACUUCAGAAGAUAACAACUUUUUUAUUUUGUUGAUAUAAUGUUAUUAUUUUUUAAUUUCUUAUUUAAUCAUUUCUCUUUGCACCAGUGGGUUCGUCAUUAUCCAGAUGGAACUAGGCAGUACAUCGAGGGUAAUCGUCAUUUAUCAAUUAGGCCUUCUCUCGCAUAUUAAUUUUUCUCAAAAAAAGAAAUUGCAAUUAAUUAUAAUCUAUAGUUUUAUUCUGCACUCCUCGUAUAUUCACAUAUCAACAAUAGAAGUGUUCCUUAGAUAUGUCAUAUUUUUCUAAUCAGGAGCCACCAACCCAGAAUAUGUAGUUACAGCUGAUGACAUCGAUAAAGUUAUAGCUGUAGAGUGCAUACCAAUGGAUGAUCAUGGACGCCAGGUUAUGCUUGACCUUUGUUUUUUUUUUUUUAUAUAUAUAUGUUUAUGAAGUUAUUUUCCUUUGUUGUUUUAGAGUGUUUAAACUGCGGGUAAUAAGUUCUAACUGCAUGUUUUGCUUUCGAGUGGUCUCAGACAUACCAAUACAUCCAUAUAUUUCUGGUACAAAAUCUUCAAUUAUUCAAGCUUGACCUUCUUAGAAAUGUUUCUUACCUUGUGUCCAAGUACCUGCACUGAUUUGCUGUUGGAGAAAACUUAAUGAUCAAAUUUGGGGAGAAGAGUAUUUAAAAAGAUCUUCAAGAAUUUGUUGAUUAUUUGAUAAGCAAAUUAGUCAGAACUUGUUCAUCUAGUAAAAUUCUUUUCUGAAAUUUUAUGGGCUUAGCACUUGAAAGUUGUGGACUCGAUCUCAUAAUUUGUUGAUACACGUUUACUUGGUUAUAGUGAAGCCCAGGGAUAACACUCAGGUUCAGGUUUAGCUUUCUGCUACUUUUACAAAGAAAAGAAAGAAAAGAUUAUAGGAAAUCUUGGGCAUGUUGGUAAUCAAUAUUCUUUGAAGGAUUUUUUUGAGAUAACUUAGAUCAUCCUUUAAAUUUGUUGUUUAUUUUUGUUUGGGUAAAUUACACUUUUCUCUCCUGUCAUUUAGCGCUUUUCACAAUACCCUCCUCUGGUUUAAAAGCUAUAUUUAACGCCUCAUUGUUUGGGCUAAAGUCUCAAAGUGAUGGAAAUUGUCCUCUGCAGUGGAACCAGCUGGAAUGUCUAGAUUACUUUCACUUAGAAACUAAAAUGAUUGAAGUGGUCAAGCUAUAAUGUAGUAUGGGUUGUCAAAAUCUAUACAUAACCCCCUCUGCGGUUAACAAAUAGUUUCUAUCUUGACAUUGGGGUACUUUUGACUUUUUUGUCAGAAGGCAAUUUCUGUCACUUUUACACUUUAGUACAAACCAUGGGGGGUUUAUGUAUAGCUUUGGAACCAUAGGAGGGUUAUGUGAAAAACUGAUAGACCCUUCUUGUGUUACUUUAGUUACACCAAAUAAAUUGAACCAAUUCAAUAAUUUGAAGAAGUUCUAGACUGUUCAACUUUCUCAUACAGCCAUGCUGUUUCUUUUUCUAAUUCUGAUCACGCCAUGAUUGCUUAGUGAAUUUGACCAUUGUUUAUUGGAAAUCUAGGUGGCUUUCAUCUCAAUUUUUUAUUAUUGUGGCACAUGCAUGAAUACUCAUCUUUAAGUGUCAGUCUGUUGUCUUCUUGACGUUUCACAAGCCAUCUUUUUUUUUUUAAAUUUUAAUCAGGGAGAUCUUGUCAGGCUAUUUGCAAAUGAUCAGAACAAAAUAACAUGUGGUAAGUUCAGUUACUUUAAUUAACAGUUGUAUGGUUGAUGCUUGAAAUAUCAAAUUGACAUGGUGGUUCGUAUUCUCAUUUUUGUGUUCUCAUGGUCCAGAAAGCUACACAGUUCUUACAGUAUUUGUUCCUAUAACUUUUUUUUGGUAUCUUUUAUCUGAUAAAACUGAACUGGAAUCCUGCCCAUCCUCUUUCUUUUAGUGGGAUUUGAUUAAGGAAUAUAGUUUUAGAACUCAAAAUUGUUCUUUUAGUUCAUUAAGCAUGUCCCUUAUAAGUCUCAUCUAAAUGAAAACCAUCAAGUAUAAGGAACCCAAGAUGCUCAAUAGUAGAGGUAAGGUUGUCAUGGCUUGUCCUUGUAAUCUCUACUCAAAGCUAAUAUACGUAUAUUGAUCCAAUCCAAACCAACCUCCAGGACACGAUGGUAGUUAUUGAUUGAAAUGUCAAUAGUGGCAGGUUAGCUAAUUUAUGAAGAAUUUAAAGGACAUUACACCAGACCCACCAUUAAGCUUGGUAUAUAGCACAAAAUGAAAUUUUUUGGCCAGAUGAUUUUAUGUUUCACUCUUUCUGACUAUGAAAAUUAAUUAUGUCAGUGAUGUAAGAACUUUAAAGAGGCUAAUACAUUCGAUGCAGGAAAUCUGUAAACAGGCUGAUACAUUUGAUGCAGGAAAGCUGCAAAAGAAUUUAAUUCAGUCUUUGAUUUGUAUUAAUCCCUAUUCUAAAUAAGGUUGAGACAAUGUACUCUGUUCUUGAAUAUAUUAAAAGCUUACUGAAAAGUAGAAGAAGCCUGUAAUCAUGUGUUCUGCUUAACCUCAAAUAAUAUAUCUCCUAACUAUGUAAAUUUAAAAAGUAAUCAACUACUGAUGUUUAUGUAAAUAAUACUUGAACACAUACAACUAGCCAAUUCCUUUGGGUAAUUGUUCUAGUUCCUGUCAACAUUCGUUGACAAAUUUGGUCUAGUUUGGGCAAUCAAGUUUGGAUCGUGUGAUAGUUUCAACCAGAAGCAACAACCUUGAAAAGAGAUAGAAAUGUCAUGUAUUAUUUGCAAGGAAUCAUGCGAAGCGCCAAAAUUGCAAUUCUUUCUCUCUCUCUAAAAUGAGAAGCUGCCUAGACCUCGUAGUUUGUAUUUUAAAAAGCCCAACUAAUUUUCAUUCUAGAGUUACCAAAAGAACUGUCAAGAGCCCUAAAUUUCUUCAGCAUGUAGAUCUUAAUGCUUUUACAAGAAGUCAAUUAAGUCAUUACCUCCAAGAGGUGUCAAUUAUUUUAAUUUGACUUGUUUAGAUGCUUGCAGAAGAAAAUUGCUUAGCAAGUGUCAAUUCGGUUUGGAACAUUUUACCUUAUUGUUUCUGAAUGUUUAUUUUCAUAUGAAGUUUUAGAAUAUCUCAUCAUGCUUUGUAGUUACCCAUGAAUGCAUAAUUACAGUUUUGCAACUACAUAUAUUAUAUUUUCCAGUUGCUUUUAGCAGUUUAACAUCAUCAAGUUUUUGGUAAGUGGACUGUGGAUAUUUGUUUGCAUAAGCAUCAGUACAGGACAUUCUUUGGUUGCCUGCUCAUUUCUCUGCAAUACUUGCUGGCAAAUGAUACCUUUGGCUUUUGCAGAUCCUGAUAUGCAACUGGAGAUAGACACCCAUAUUUCAAAUGGCCAAGCGACAUUCAAUGUUCUAAUGCUUGUAGGUUAUAUAUAAUUUGCAAAUAUCAAACUCAUAUUUAUUUACCUACUCAUACUGUUCACUUGUUAGACACCACUUAUCUAAUUUUGGAUCUAAUUUAUAGGAUUAUAGGUGCUAGUUUGUAGGUUUAUAAUUUGUACUCACCUUUUUAGAUGCAUAAACACAGAGUGAUUUGUGGAUUAUUAUCAAUAUCAGGAAAGGUUUACACCAGUAAUAAGUGAAUUAGAAAGGCCUCUAAUGGUGUAAUAGUUAUUAGUUGCUUACUCCUAAUGUACAGUCAAAUAGUGAGUGCACCAUAUCAUACUUUCCAUAUAGUAAUGUUGCAAUAGAUUUUGCAAAUGGAGUAAAAGAUUUUGAAAGGAGCAGAUAGCAUGUAGCAUCUUGAAGUUGUAAUGUUAACCAAGGCACUCUUCCCUUUAUUUGGCUCCCUUUCAAAUAUUUGUAGUCAUGUGAUUAUUACUCUUUUUGAGUUAAAAUGGACCAUCCAUUGCUGAGAGGCAUACAAUGAAAUAAUGAGAUGUCCUUCCCCACUGUUAUAUUUGUAUCUUUUCUGUGAAAUUGCUGCCUCGUCCGCCUGGUUGUCCACCUGGAAAAAAACAAGAGAUCCUACAUGCCCUCUUCGCUUUUUCUGCUUUAGAAGUAUUAUCUACAUGAGCAAUUAUUAAAUCUUUAUUUGCGGCAGAAUAAAUCACCAGCAUCAUCCCCUCAUGCAUGAUUAAUGUUGCUACAUAUAAAAUUACCAAAAGUGAUAAGAUCUGGAAAUUGUAAACCUUAAAAAGAUGAAUAAACUGAUUAUGAUUGUGUUAAAUUCUUAGGAGUUGUGAGUACUGCAGAUAAUUCUAUAUUUGUUACCCUGCCAAAAGAUAGCUAAACCUUGACUAUGUAUGUUGUUAUUAGCAACUUAAAUUAUUUUUUAUUUAGCUAUAAAGAUAUUUAGCAUUAAUCAUCCAAUUUGCAAACAGAUAGAUUCUUCCGAGAAUUGGGAACCGGCAACCAUAUUUUUGAGGCGAUCAAGUUUCCAAGUCAAGGUUCACAGAAUGCAGGAAGUGGCAAUUGCAGAGAAAUUUUCCAGAGACUUGUCGGUAAUGCUUUUUACUUUCUAACAGUUUGGACAAUCAAGAAUCUAAUACUCAUAUUGGGGAUUGUUUUUAUCUGGACCUGAAUUUCAUUUAUGGAAUGCAAAUACAUUUAAGCACUUUUUGGAAUGACAGUGUUUCACUUUUUUAAGCAAUUAUAUGUAUGCAGAGAAGUUUUAUAAAUGCAUAUUUGCCUAUGUUGAUCAUUUGAUCCAUUUGGGUUCCUAUAGAUGAUAAUUGUGUCCCAAAAGUGAGUUGAUUCCCUACUCAAUUAAGCUUCUCCCUUACUCAAGUGAUCUGUCAAAACAAUUGUGUGCUGAAGUUUAAAUUUGUCAGUAACUUUGCAUGGCCAGCUAAAAGUGGGCUUUUUAGACAAGACAAGAUUGUCGUCACUUUACAUUGGCCUCCAACAUUAACUGAUGGUGUAGUGAUACAUUAAAAUUAAAUUGUACUUGAUUGUUGUGGAGUGACUGUAUUAGUGAGAAUAAUGUACAUGACUACCAGUAUUUAUUAGUGAUACCUUGUUAUGUAUUUUGAUUUUGUGAUUAUUGGGUUUAGAUUUGGAAUAUUCUCAGGGAUAACAAACAUAUCAACAGCAUUGCUCUCUUACCUUUUGCAGGUUAAAAUUCCCAAUGGGGUCUCAUCACAGUUUGUUUUAACAUAUUCUGAUGGUUCUUCACAUUUUUUCAGCACAAACAAUGAUGUUAGGUAUGCACCAUUAUAACUUUCUAACUUGCCCUGCGUUACUCUCAUAAGUGGUAAUUAUGCAUGGUGUUGUGGGGUACAUGAAUCCUUUUUCAUAGGUUUGCACAUGGAACUUCCCAUUUAGUUUUACUAUGUAACUAAGAACUUAAAAGCUCCUCUCUAUGAUAUUCACAGGAGGACCUUAGUGGGGCCACGCUAAUGUACAUUCAGGAUUUUGGAAAAAAAAAACUUUCUAAUGAUUUUCCAUUUUCCUGGUUGAUUGUAUGUAAUUGUAUGUGUUUUAAUGUUUAUGCAUAGACGUACAAGAAAUAAUAGCAAAUAUGAUGAUGAGCAACUUCAUACAUAUCCUCUGAGUUGUGCAGCAUUAUGCCUAGAGUUCCUUCCUUCGCCCCCCCCCCCCUCUUUUUCAGAGAGUCAUCUUCCUUAAAAUGUGUGCAAUAGGUGUAACUCUUCCUUUGGCUUCCCAAUUGGGGUUGGGCCUAGUAUAGCCGUCACUUGGAGCUCGUUUCUAAACAUCAGGAUAUUUACCUAAACAGAACAACUACUGCUUAGUGAAUAAAUUAGCUCAUUUAGGGAGCUCAAAAUCAGCUUCCAAGUUACAUAGAUUGCUGAGCAAGCAAUGGGCAUGGCUACAAAAGCUUGAUGCUAUGAUCUUUGAGCCAAUUUAAUUGUAUCAUCUUGUGGGAGGUUCCAAGCUGCUAGCUCUGGAAUAAUCUUGUUUUCUCCUUGUAGAGUUACUAACAAUUCGAUAAGGAGUGCCAUUUUCGAGCUCUGUAAAUGAAUGUCUUUUGUUCUUUUUCUUUCCCUGAUUUUAUGGCUCAAUUACAAUGGAAGGAAUCACUUCUGCAUAAUUUGAUUAAAUUUUAGUGCCUUUUUUUUCACCGAAUUAAUAGUUUACUACAGCUAUACUAGAGUAACUGCACGCCUCAUGUUUUCUUGGUGUGUAUUGCAAUGUAUGAUGUGAUGCCAUUUCUUUCUGGCAGAAUGCGUGAUACACUAGCAUUGACAAUAAGAAUCUUCCAGACGAAGGUAUGCUUCUCUGCAGAUAACAUCAUUUGUACUUUUGGAAUCUAGAAGUCUCUUUUUGUUAAAGAUCCUUGGUAUUUUCUCUCUUUAAUCAAGGAUUUUUAUCUUUGUGUGAUGUAAGUGGUUUUGUAGUUCCUUAUGUUCUUGGAUAGUGAGUAAGUUUUUUGUUGUUAUGUACUCUAGACUCGGGAAGAUAUAAGCCAAUACACAAGCAAACUGAUGUAGUUCCAUUUUUAUCUUGUUAGAUGCAACAGUAAGCUGCAGGAGAAUAAAUAAUGAAAAUAUUAAGUUUUUUUAAUCUUAAAAUCCACCUAGUUCGAGAGUUUACUUGGCUACCUAUUUUAUUAAACAGUUCCAAGUUUGAAAUCCCAAUACAAAAAGUUAAAAGUCUAUAUAAAUCAAGCAAAAGUUUUCCAAAGUUUGGAGACGAAUUGAAAUCAAAAGUAUAGCAGCUUCUAUAUGCUGAGUCUGCUGACAAGAAAAAUUUUGGGAUCAAACCAGCUUCCCUGUAAAAUUGCAUCUCUCCAAAUAUGAGAACGUUGAAAACAUCAAAAACAUUGAACAGAAAACCCAAGUGAAAGUUAGGUUUUCUUUUUCUUUCAUUAUUUAGAAGGGAAGGGAUGGGAAAGGAAGUAGUGGCGAGGACAGGGGAUUCAUGGGAUUGGAGAUGAGAAAUGAAGCCUCAUACUAAGACAAGGAGCAAUAUACCUCUUAUCCGCUGGAAUGCUUGAAUAUAAAUCAGUUGAUUCAAGGAAUAUUGUUUAUUUUAGAUGUCUACUCAUGAGAUCAGGAGGCAAGUUAGUCAAUCUGCCUUUCCUUUCUUCCUCAUUGUCUUCUUUCCUCUAUUUGGCUAUAAUUGAAAACAAAAUUUGUCAUGUUAACAUCACUAGCAUUUUAAACACCUGGAAAGGGAAUACUUAUAAAAUUGGACAGAUUUGUUCAACGUAAAGUUACAGGGCAUCCCAUGCAAUCAAAGUUUAGUACAUAUGCAAAAUGUUCCCUCAGGCUCAACACAAUAUUGCCAGUGUCCUAGAUCCCUUUAAACUCUACUGUCAACAGAUUCUAAAAGGUUAGUAGCACCAAGUUGAAUAUGCAGCUAAAUUUCAUCAUUCAUUGGCCUUGUGCCAAAAUGAAUACUGAUGUGGCCCUAGACAUAUGAAAUCGGCUGUUGAAGCAGUAACAAAUGUAUCGAUUAUGCAGCCCAUAUUGACAUUUAUUGGCAUUGUGUCAAUGUCAAACCUAAACUGAUUAUCUGUAGGACAUAGCAUGCAUACUUGCUUGGCAUAUUGCUAAGCUUUUCUGCCAUUGUCGUGCUCAGAAACAAAUGUGGAUCAUUGAGAUCUUACUAUAUGUGUUUGAUGGUAUAAAAUAGCCUGGACUUAUUUCUUUCUUCUUCUAGAUUCCAAAUCACAACUGUCUUCAAAGUGGUUACAAUUUAUCUAUGCCACACUUCCAACAAGACUUUCCAUUAUUGAAAAUUCUAAAAAGUUUUGUGCUUGUUCAAAUUGGUAGAAUGAAUUGUGCAACUGCUCCUUGUAGAAUUUCUACAUAGAGCUCCAGUUUCAAACCUGACUAGUCACUCUUACCAAGUGGGAUCCUAUUACAAGUAGCUUUAGUUAGUUUCCCAAAAUUCCAAGGUCCAUGCUCAAAGAAAGUAUGUCAUAUAGGACAUGAAGCCAAAGGCUGCAACCGGUAUACAUGUUUGACAUGUUCUGCAGUGUCCAUUAGAUAUAAGUUCAACAUUACUAAGUCUUUUAACAAGUCUUUCUGAUGUGUACAAGUUUUGGUGAUAUGAAGCAAAAUUGUGGUCAAUUGAAAGCUCAACCACAAAACCAUUGGGUUUGUUGAUUUUCUAUAAUUCAUGGAACGUGGGACAUUAUGCAUGUCUUUGGUGAUUAGAUUGUAAAAUUUCUUUUGAUGGGUUUCAUAAGGCUACAAUUGACACCAAUAGUUUGUAAUAGCUUUUAUGACUAGUGUUUUGACUAUGGGGAAAAAGAGACUGUGUCUGAUAUGAUAAUAAUUUGAUGCAUUUUAAACUACAUUUGCUUGUUUGAAGCAUUGUUGCAUUGAAGUUCAGUGUACUCCUAAAGGUUUUCAUGUCCAUAUGCAUCGAAUUAGUUCACUUAGUGAACAUCAUGCAGGUGAAGUUCACAAAUUUAUAUAGGAUAUCAAGGCUUCAACAUGAAAUAGUAACCUCUCAACAUGCCUUUUUAAUGUUCCAACUCCAAAACCAUAUUAGAAAUCCCAAUAACUAGAUGAAAAUGAUUCUCCAUGGGAGCUAGUUUAUUCUCAAUCUAUGUCAGGGGAAUGUCUUAAUUUGGUUAAUUACAAAAUUAUUGAGCAAAUAGUGGGACUCUUUAAGGCUGCACUCUAAACAUAUUUGCUAUUUGUUGCUUAGAACCUUGUCAAUUACCAUAAUAACGCUUCUCCUAUCUUUGCUCUCGACCUUUACCUUACAAGUAAUGAGCAGAUGGAUCUUCUGAUGACAUAGUGCAUAGGCACAUGAAAUUCUUAUCCUUGGUGGGGAAAAAUGGUAGGAUACGGAGGAGUUUCUCUCACUUUUGAGUGUCGUUAGUCCAAUUGCCACUGAGUUUGCCUCUCAUUUCCUGUAUAGCAUCUAUUUCUCUUUUCCUGUGUAGCAUUUGGAACGUUUGCACUAUCUAAUACCAAUGAAAUAGGGAAGUUAUAUCAUUCAUGUUAAGUCUUUAGACAUUUAAGUUUUGAAAUAUAAGUUGGGGAGUUAUCAUUUUUAUUGGAAUCCAUAGAUGGUCAAAAUGCUUAGUGUCAAAAUACUUAGCUUUAUGUUUAUUUUGCAUUUCAUAUUUUGUUCGUGCCUUCGAUUAAUAUAUACUCUUCCUUCUUGAAUUUGUGGAUUGGGCUUAAAAGUUUUCUUCUCUACUUUUGUGAGGUAUGGGAACUUUUGUUUGGAAUUUGCUCUUAAGUCUUUGGAUAUGUUUGAGAUUUAUUUAUUUUUAUUCUUUCAAGCAGGCGAUGGACGAAAAGAGGAAGGGGAAGAGCAUGAAUUCUUCAUAGGAGUACAGUUUUUGUAGCUAUAUAGUAUUCUUUUAGAAAAUAGAAAAUGUGAAAAUAACGAGAUGCACAUAUUCUUGUAUACUAGUUUUUAGUAAGUUAAUAAAAUUAUAUUUUGUUUUCCACUUUCCUGUUGUAAAGAGUAUAACUUUUGGUCUUUAAAUUGUUAAUUGCAUAUUUGAGUUCCCAUCAGUUUUAUAUUCCAUGCCCUCUCUCACUCCCCCCCCCCCACCCCCAAAAAAAAACCCGCUCUUCAUAUAUAAUAUGUACAUACAUGUAGGCAUGUAAGUGUGUAUGUGACAUUCAAAAUAGUUGGAAUGGAAAUUGGCACCAUGUUAAAGAAUUUAACCUGAAUCAUGUACUGAUUCAGGGAUUUUACUGUCUUUUGGACUGCUGCUAGUUUUGGAAUACCAGGUUUUCUUUUUCUGGACAAGUAUAGUGUAUCCUUGAAGUGAAAAGUUCUAGUUACGGUAACCUCACUUGCAUUCUUUUAAAUAGGUAGUACAGCACAAGGGUCUGGGAUGUCAAUCUCUUCUCUAUAGAUGCUUGCUCCAGUGAAAUAGAUAGUACUAAAGACAUAGCUCAAAUUAUUUUAACAGCACUGAGCUGCGUAUGGUCUGGUGAUUCAACAAGUAUUAUUCAUCCCACUGCAUACUCUGUGGAAGUGCUGGUUCAGUCCAGUACGUGUUGUCGUCAUUUUGUUGGAUCAUCAUUGAAAUAAGCUAUGAAAGCUGUUCGUCCUUAUUUUGAACUUCUACUAGCUUCUUGAGAAGUUGAAGUUGAGUAGAGUAUUAAACUGGCUCACAAUAGAGAUGUAUUCUCACUUUAGCGCUCAAGCUUAAUGGCCUGUUAGGAAUUUCAUAGCUGGAGAACAAAGGAAAUUGAGCGAUAGGAGAAAAGCAAUGCAGGAAUUUCUUUUGAUUGUGGCUAUUUUGUUUCACAGCACAGUUAAAAGCAAAUCAUGCUUCUCAUCCAUUGCAUUGUAUUUAAUACCAUGUAGGAAGCAAGUUAUGCUUUUCUCUAUUUGUUUAAGAAUCUUUACCACCAGUCUUUGAUUUUAUUGGGAAUAUCUCUACCUGUCAUACAGGAAAGGCUCUGCCAUGUAAAGAAUAUUAUUUUGUAUGACAAAAGUAUGCUAAAGGGACAACAACUAAUUUGAGCCUGUGCAUUUAUAUAGCUUAUUAGACAAGGACAAUCAUCUGGGAAACAAAAGAUUUGCCUUUUGCUUGUUUUUAGUUACAGCAAGCAUUGAAUGUAGAAAAGAGGGAGCAUAACUGUAAGAUAGCUGUUCACUUCUUACCUCUGAUUGAUAGUUCUGAAUCUGGGACAGAAAAGUAUUUGAUUCCAUUGACGUAAUGCUUUUAUGAUCUUGUUUUUCUUGACUUCUCUGCAUAAUGGAAUUGACUCUGUAUUAUUAUGUGAUAUGGUUCUUAUAUGAGAAUUCUAAGUUGACCCUUUGGGGGGUGGGGGUGGGGGUGGGGGAAUAGUCUUGCCAAGUAUUGUUCUUAUUACAGCCUCCUAGGAAUGGCAAUGGUCCCUGCCCCAUUAGCCCUCCGCGGGCACCCGCCCUAAUUGCCAUCCCUACAGCCUCUGGAUGAGCAUACUGUCUGGACAUUUCAUGUGAACAUUUGUCAUCCUUAAUGGCUCUAUAACUGAUCGAAAAUUUUGUUCCUAUCUCGUAUCGUUUGCUCAACUUCAAGUGUUAAAGUAGUUGAGUUGAAUGUUGGUUGUCUGUCAUGAGUGGUUGUUGAAUCUGAGGAAAGAGAAUCAAGAUUCUAGAUUGGUGAAUUUGUUGCUUGCUGAUAUUGAUAUGGUACUGUAUUACUUUCAUUCUGCUAUUAUCUGAUAUUUGCAUAGAUUGUUGAUCGUGUUUACAGUUUAUUUGUAGUUAUAUUAAUAUUUAGCCUGUGAAUUAUGCUUGUAACAUAUACAUUGUUUUGCAUUUAUCAUAAUGACCAUGACCCUUCAUAUUCCAAAUACUUUCACAAGAUUUGGGCACUUACACAUUGACAACUCUUGCUACAUAACCUGGCAUGGUGCAGCCACUGCCUAGUUCCAUGUGAUUUUGUUGUUAGAAUGGGGAAUUUUCCACAUGACUACCCAACGGAAGGGGUUAGGUGUAGCAGCACAGGGUGGCCUAAUUCAACCAUCUUAUCAGCAAUUUUUGGACCCGUUUUCAUAUAAACUAUCUUAGGGUAGGUGAAAACAAGGGUAGGAUAAGUGAUAACUAAUUGGAAGAAAAAUCAAUCACCUCACAAGUGUUAUGGGAUGGUGUAAUCUGAACUGAAGAGGUUUGGUAGAUAAAUAUUGAUCUUGAACCCUAGUAAAAGCCUUUAGGACCUAUAGUUCCUCUUAGUUCAUCUCUCCACCAUUUGAAUGAUUUUAAUUGUGGAAGGAAAAAGUUCUGUAUUGUUGCGUUUCAAUCACAAGCGAUGCAGACAACUCCUAGCAGAGUUGCAGCUUGCAAUGACAGCCGAGUAUGGAGGAUAAUCCUAAACAGGAAUGGCGAAAUAAAGCAUUUUCCUUCAGUUUCAGGAUCUUUACAGGCCAAAUGCUAAAUACAGAACGUAUCAAGGAUUUCAAGAACCAAUUCCUACACAAGAUUUGAUUCAGGUGUCAUCUACACAUCCCAAAUUAGACCAGAAAGAACUACUAACAUAUUGAACUAGAAUUAGGAUUGUAAGUGAAUUUGGUUCAUUACCUCCAAGUUCCAACCUCUGAAGUCCACGUGUGGCAGUGCAUGAUUGUCUGAUAAAAGGGUAACUUUUUGUAUGGUAGAAGCUUCUGCUUCUUUUAAUUAGAAUUGUUUUUCUGAACUUUGAGACGGUGCAACAAACAGAAUAAGAAAAAGAAAACCAUGUUUUCAAGAAUAUUAUAGUGGAUGGAGUAUCAUAUUCCUUUCCUUAACU
rnacentral:lncRNA from 1 species